AGUGAACGCUGGCGGUAGGCCUAACACAUGCAAGUCGAACGGCAGCACAGGAGAGCUUGCUCUCUGGGUGGCGAGUGGCGGUCGGGUGAGGAAUACAUCGGAAUCUACUUUUUCGUGGGGGAUAACGUAGGGAAACUUACGCUAAUACCGCAUACGACCUACGGGUGAAAGCAGGGGACCUUCGGGCCUUGCGCGAUUGAAUGAGCCGAUGUCGGAUUAGCUAGUUGGCGGGGUAAAGGCCCACCAAGGCGACGAUCCGUAGCUGGUCUGAGAGGAUGAUCAGCCACACUGGAACUGAGACACGGUCCAGACUCCGACGGGAGGCAGCAGUGGGGAAUAUUGGACAAUGGGCGCAAGCCUGAUCCAGCCAUACCGCGUGGGUGAAGAAGGCCUUCGGGUUGUAAAGCCCUUUUGUUGGGAAAGAAAUCCAGCUGGCUAAUACCCGGUUGGGAUGACGGUACCCAAAGAAUAAGCACCGGCUAACUUCGUGCCAGCCGCCGCGGUAA
rnacentral:rRNA from 1 species